rnacentral:lncRNA from 1 species
AAAAAUGCACAUUAAUUCAAAAACGAUCCAAUUAAUCUAAAGAAAAAUCAUGGCUAAACAUAACACACAAUAUGAUCAACACACAAAAAAUCAAGGAAUUUGGACAUGAUUAGGCAUGGUAAAGAAAUUGCAUAAGGCAAGGUAACCAAAACAAGCUCAAAUAUGACACCAAAUGGCACAUCAACUUAGCACAAGCCUAAAACAUAAAUGGAACAAGGUAAAGACCUCAAACCAAAGCCAAAACAAACUUCAACAUGUCUAGAAGCAAUGUGCA